rnacentral:rRNA from 1 species
CCUACGGGUGGCAGCAGUGAGGAAUAUUGGUCAAUGGACGCAAGCCUGAACCAGCCAAGUAGCGUGAAGGAAGACGGCUCUACGGGUUGUAAACUGCUUUUGUACAAGGAUAAAGGCAGACACGCGUACCUUUUUGAAAGUAUCUUAUGAAUAAGGAUCGGCUAACUCCGUGCCAGCAGCCGCGGUAAUACGGAGGAUCCAAGCGUUAUCCGGAUUUAUUGGGUUUAAAGGGUGCGUAGGUGGUUGGAUAAGUUAGAGGUGAAAGCUCGAGGCUCAACUGUAGAAUUGCAUCUGAUACUGGUCGUCUAGAGUGUAGUUGCGGUAGGCGGAAUGUGUGGUGUAGCGGUGAAAUGCUUAGAGAUCAUGCAGAACUCCGAUUGUGAAGGCAGCUUACUAAGCUACUUCUGACGUUGAGGCACGAAAGCGUGGGGAGCAAACAGGAUUAGAUACCCCAGUAGUC